rnacentral:rRNA from 1 species
GCAAGUCGAGCGCAGUCCUUCGGGACCGAGCGGCGGACGGGUUAGUAACGCGUGGGAACGUACCCUUUUCUACGGAAUAGCCUUUGGAAACGAAGAGUAAUACCGUAUACGCCCUUCGGGGGAAAGAUUUAUCGGAAUUGGAUUAGCCCGCGUUAGAUUAGAUAGUUGGUGGGGUAAUGGCCUACCAAGUCUACGAUCUAUAGCUGGUUUGAGAGGAUGAUC